rnacentral:lncRNA from 1 species
CCGACAGAUGAACAGAUGGCCUGCUUGCUGGGCUUCCCAUUACUAAUUCUUGAGACAUGAUGACCACUGACUGGUGAGGGAAUUGCCCUAAGAUGGAUGAGCCUGCCUCAAGCUCCCAUAAGCUGGGAGGACCAACGGUUGACUGACUCUGCCUGCUUGGUUGGCCAUUACCAAUUCUUAAGAAGAUGAGGACCGCCAAGCUUGGAUGAGACUGGAAAAUUACGAAGCUGCUCUAUCUGGACAAGGAUGCCCUCAUCAGACACUUUCCAAUUUGCGGAAUAUUGGAUCCAAAAUCAGACUGCAUAUUAUUUUAAAAACAUGAAAACGACGAAAAUACGAAUUCUUACGCCAAAGUUACCGCUAUAAUUGGUAGAAAUAAUAGCUUAAAUCACUGUUACUUGUUAACUUUACUGAGAUACCUAUUUCUGAAAUAUUUGACAACGAAUACGACGAAAAUUGAAGAAAAAAAGUCAAAUGUGUGUAAAAUACAUUGCAGUGAAAAUCAGUCAUGAGUGGAUUUUCUACUCACAGAAAUGCUUCUCCGCUUCCAACAAGUGGCUAAGAAAAUGAUGAAAUUUACGCCGAAAAUAACUGAAAUCAGUGUUGUUUUCACCUUUACUGCGAUACCUACCCGAAAUAGUUGACUAAACGCGUGUGACGAAACGUGGAAACAAAAAUCAAAUCAGCCUAAAUAAAUUACAACGAAAAUCACAUAGUACGUGGAGUUUCUUCUCGCAGCCCGGCACUCUGUUUCUACAGGUAGCUACAGGAAAAUUACGAAAAUUACACCGAAAAUCAACGCGGCAAAUAA